rnacentral:rRNA from 1 species
CGUGCCAGCAGCCGCGGUAAUACGUAGGUGGCAAGCGUUAUCCGGAAUUACUGGGCGUAAAGAGUGAGCAGGCGGUUAGAUAAGUCUAUGGUUAAAUGCAACAGCUCAACUGUUGUUCGCUAUAGAAACUAUUUAACUAGAGUGCGGGAGAGGUAAGUGGAACUCCAUAUGUAGCGGUGGAAUGCUUAGAUAUAUGGAAGAACACCAGAGGCGAAGGCGGCUUACCAGUCCGUAACUGACGCUCAGUCACGAAAGCGUGGGGAGCAAAUAGGAUUAGAUAUCCUAGUAGUCCACGCCGUAAACGAUGAGAACCUGAUGCAGGAGAUAUUCUGUGUCGAAGCUAACGCGUUAAGUUCUCCGCCUGGGUACUACGUUCGCAAGAAUAAAACUUAAAGGAAUUGACGGGGGCCCGCACAAGCAGUGGAGCAUGGGGUUUAAUUCGUCGAUACACGAAAAACCUUACCAGGGCUUGACAUCCCGCUAAAAGCCUUAGAAAUAAGGAAAUAGUUAUAGCGGUGACAGGUGGUGCAUGGUUGUCGUCAGCUCGUGCCGUGAGGUGUUAGGUUAAGUCCUCAAACGAGCGCAACCCUUGUCUUUAGUUGCCAUUAUUAAUUUAGGAACUCUAGAGAGACUGCCGGCGCAAGCCGGAGGAAGGCGGGGAUGACGUCAAAUCAUCAUGCCCUUUAUGCCCUGGGCCACACCCGUGCUACAAUGGUCGGUACAAAGAGAAGCAACACUGUGAGGUGAAGCAAAUCCCAUAAAGCCGAUCUCAAUUCGGAUUGAAGUCUGCAACUCGACUUCAUGAAGCUGGAAUUGCUAGUAAUCGCAGAUCAGCAACGCUGCGGUGAAUACGUUCUCGGGCGUUGUACACACUGCCCGUCACACCAUGAGAGCCGGUAAUACUCGAAGUCGUUAGCCUAACCGUAAGGAGGGCGGCGCCUAAGGUAGGACUGGUGAUUGGGGUUAAGUCGUAACAAGGUAUCCCUACGAGAACGUGGGGAUG